AGCCAUGGGGUGAUCACAGACCGGACUAUUAUUUCGCAUUUUACUAGAGAAUACAGUGUGCUCUCCACUAAUCACGGUAUACGCCAAUUUUUGGAAGGGUGUUUCUUGGUGUCAU